AUUGAACGCUGGCGGCAGGCCUAACACAUGCAAGUCGAACGGUAACAGGAAACAGCUUGCUGUUUCGCUGACGAGUGGCGGACGGGUGAGUAAUGUCUGGGAAACUGCCUGAUGGAGGGGGAUAACUACUGGAAACGGUAACUAAUACCGCAUAACGUCGCAAGACCAAAGAGGGGGACCCUCGGGCCUCUUGCCAUCGGAUGUGCCCAGAUGGGAUUAGCUUGUUGGUGGGGUAACGGCUCACCAAGGCGACGAUCCCUAGCUGGUCUGAGAGGAUGACCAGCCACACUGGAACUGAGACACGGUCCAGACUCCUACGGGAGGCAGCAGUGGGGAAUAUUGCACAAUGGGCGCAAGCCUGAUGCAGCCAUGCCGCGUGUAUGAAGAAGGCCUUCGGGUUGUAAAGUACUUUCAGCGGGGAGGAAGGGAGUAAAGUUAAUACCUUUGCUCAUUGACGUUACCCGCAGAAGAAGCACCGGCUAACUCCGUG
rnacentral:rRNA from 1 species